UACGUAGGGACCGAGCGUUGUCCGGAAUCAUUGGGCGUAAAGAGCGUGUAGGCGGCCAACUAAGUCCUGCGUGAAAUCUCGGGGGCUCAACCCCGAGCGGUCGUGGGAAACUGGUUGGCUAGAGUGCGGGAGAGGAGAGUGGAAUUCCUGGUGUAGCGGUGAAAUGCGCAGAUAUCAGGAAGAACACCCGUGGCGAAGGCGGCUCUCUGGAACGCAACUGACGCUGAGACGCGAAAGCGUGGGGAGCAAACAGG
rnacentral:rRNA from 1 species